rnacentral:tRNA from 1 species
GCCUGAGUGGCUCAGUGGUUGAGCGUCUGCCUUCAGCCCAGAGUGUGAUCUCAGAGUUCUGGGAUCAAGUCCCACAUCGGGCU